GACGAACGCUGGCGGCGUGCUUAACACAUGCAAGUCGAACGGAAAGGCCCUGCUUGCAGGGUACUCGAGUGUCGAACGGGUGAGUAAAACGUGGGUGAUCCGCCCUGCACUUCGGGAUAAGCCUGGGAAACUGGGUCUAAUACCCGAUAGGAGCCAUCCUUAGUGUUGUGGUUGGAUAGUUUUUUCGGUGUAGGAUGAGCUCGCGGCCUGUCAGCUUGUUGGUGGGGUAAUGGCCUACCAAGGCGGCGAGGGGCAGCCGGCCUGAGAGGGUGUACGGCCACAUUGGGGCAGAGAUACGGCCCAGACUCCUACGGGGGGCAGAAGUGGGGAAUAUUGCACAAUGGGGGCAAGCGUGAGGCAGCGACGCCGCGUGGGGGAUGAAGGCCUUCGGGUUGUAAACACCUUUCGCUAGGGACGAAGCUUUUUUGUGACGGUACCUAGAUAAGAAGCACCGGCUAACUACGUG
rnacentral:rRNA from 1 species